rnacentral:rRNA from 1 species
GGGGUACACGAGUGGCGAACGGGUGAGUAACACGUGGGUAAUCUGCCCUGCACAUCGGGAUAAGCCUGGGAAACUGGGUCUAAUACCGAAUAGGACCACAGAACACAUGUCCUGUGGUGGAAAGCUUUUGCGGUGUGGGAUGGGCCCGCGGCCUAUCAGCUUGUUGGUGGGGUGAUGGCCCACCAAGGCGACGACGGGUAGCCGGCCUGAGAGGGUGUCCGGCCACACUGGGACUGAGAUACGGCCCAGACUCCUACGGGAGGCAGCAGUGGGGAAUAUUGCACAAUGGGCGAAAGCCUGAUGCAGCGACGCCGCGUGGGGGAUGACGGCCUUCGGGUUGUAAACCUCUUUCACCAUCGACGAAGGUCCGGGUUUUCUCGGGCUGACGGUAGGUGGAGAAGAAGCACCGGCCAACUACGUGCCAGCAGCCGCGGUAAUACGUAGGGUGCGAGCGUUGUCCGGAAUUACUGGGCGUAAAGAGCUCGUAGGUGGUUUGUCGCGUUGUUCGUGAAAUCUCACGGCUUAACUGUGAGCGUGCGGGCGAUACGGGCAGACUUGAGUACUGCAGGGGAGACUGGAAUUCCUGGUGUAGCGGUGGAAUGCGCAGAUAUCAGGAGGAACACCGGUGGCGAAGGCGGGUCUCUGGGCAGUAACUGACGCUGAGGAGCGAAAGCGUGGGGAGCGAACACGAUUAGAUACCCUGGUAGUCCACGCCGUAAACGGUGGGUACUAGUGUGGGUUUCCUUCCUUGGGAUCCGUGCCGUAGCUAACGCAUUAAGUACCCCGCCUGGGG